rnacentral:rRNA from 1 species
UUUAUGGAGAGUUUGAUCCUGGCUCAGGAUGAACGCUGGCGGCGUGCCUAAUACAUGCAAGUCGAGCGAACGGACGAGAAGCUUGCUUCUCUGAUGUUAGCGGCGGACGGGUGAGUAACACGUGGAUAACCUACCUAUAAGACUGGGAUAACUUCGGGAAACCGGAGCUAAUACCGGAUAAUAUUUUGAACCGCAUGGUUCGAAAGUGAAAGACGGUCUUGCUGUCACUUAUAGAUGGAUCCGCGCUGCAUUAGCUAGUUGGUAAGGUAACGGCUUACCAAGGCAACGAUGCAUAGCCGACCUGAGAGGGUGAUCGGCCACACUGGAACUGAGACACGGUCCAGACUCCUACGGGAGGCAGCAGUAGGGAAUCUUCCGCAAUGGGCGAAAGCCUGACGGAGCAACGCCGCGUGAGUGAUGAAGGUCUUCGGAUCGUAAAACUCUGUUAUUAGGGAAGAAC